rnacentral:ribozyme from 1 species
UCACCUCAUAGAUCCACUACACCACACUAACAACUCUAACACUACACAUUUAAAAUGGGAGACUCCGCCUACUCCUUCUCCCUAACAACCUUCUCCCGCACGGGCAAACUCCUCCAAAUCGAAUAUGC